UACGAAGGGGGCUAGCGUUGUUCGGAAUUACUGGGCGUAAAGGGCGCGUAGGCGGUGUGUCAGGUCAGGCGUGAAAGCCCCGGGCUCAACCUGGGAACAGCGCUUGAGACUGGCACGCUCGAGUUCGGGAGAGGAUGGUGGAAUUCCCAGUGUAGAGGUGAAAUUCGUAGAUAUUGGGAAGAACACCGAUGGCGAAGGCAGCCAUCUGGACCGACACUGACGCUGAGGCGCGAAAGCGUGGGGAGCAAACAGG
rnacentral:rRNA from 1 species